AUUGAACGCUGGCGGCAUGCCUUACACAUGCAAGUCGAACGGUAACAGGUCUUCGGAUGCUGACGAGUGGCGAACGGGUGAGUAAUACAUCGGAACGUGCCUAGUAGUGGGGGAUAACUACUCGAAAGAGUGGCUAAUACCGCAUGGGAUCUACGGAUGAAAGCAGGGGAGCGCAAGACCUUGUGCUACUAGAGCGGCCGAUGGCAGAGUAGGUAGUUGGUGGGAUAAAAGCUUACCAAGCCGACGAUCUGUAGCUGGUCUGAGAGGACGAUCAGCCACACUGGGACUGAGACACGGCCCAGACUCCUACGGGAGGCAGCAGUGGGGAAUUUUGGACAAUGGGCGAAAGCCUGAUCCAGCAAUGCCGCGUGCAGGAUGAAGGCCUUCGGGUUGUAAACUGCUUUUGUACGGAACGAAAAGCCCCGGGUUAAUACCCUGGGGUCAUGGCGGUACCGUAAGAAUAAGCACCGGCUAACUACGUGCCAGCCGCCGCUGUAA
rnacentral:rRNA from 1 species